CCGCCACGACUUCUCCUUUCCGCUUCCUCUCCACACGACGGCGUCGUCCGACACCUCCUCUCCCUGCCCUAGGGUCAAUGGCCUCUUCCCCUCCCUGCACUGCACAAGCGAGGAGGCGUCGUUACCCUCAAGUUCUACAGCCGGCUCGGACUCUAGCUCGGUGCUUUUAAUUCAAUACCACUGUGACACAACUUCAUAUAUUACCUCAAGAGCUUCAUAGAGAUGCAAGCCAUAAUGAUGACAAGGUCCUUCUUCUUGCUGCUACAAAUACUCUAUAUGCUCUCGAUCACAUAUAGAACAUCUAUCAAUUAUUCACCUGCAUGAUCUUAACGCCAGGCAACGCAUGUUCAAGGCACAUGAUCCCAUGAUUGAGCGCAUCAUCGCUCAAGGUCUCAGGGGAAGGUUGUUCUGACUGCUGACAACAACAGAACUUAUGAAGGUCAACUCGAUAUUUCUAUGGGGCCAGGCCGGGACGCACAAAAAUUGGGAGGAUAUGUUGUUAGGAUGGUGUAUUAUAUGCUGGUGAAAUUAAUUAUCGCUGGAAGUAAUGGUCAUCGAUUGAUGGCGAAAGAAACUGUCCUCAAUGGUGGCGAUAACUGAAGGUUAACUUUUUUUAGCGGACCUGAGCCUUUAAUGAGGGUUUUUCUUUGAGCA